rnacentral:tRNA from 1 species
GGGUACGUAGCUCAGUGGUAGAGCGCCUGACUGUUAAUCAGGUGGUCGUAGGUUCGAAUCCUACCGUGCCCG